AAUGAACGCUGGCGGCAUGCCUAACACAUGCAAGUCGAACGAGACCUUCGGGUCUAGUGGCGCACGGGUGCGUAACGCGUGGGAAUCUGCCCUUGGUUCGGAAUAACAGUUAGAAAUGACUGCAAAUACCGGAUGAUGUCGUAAGGCCAAAGAUUUAUCGCCCAAGGAUGAGCCCGCGUAGGAUUAGCUAGUUGGUGAGG
rnacentral:rRNA from 1 species